rnacentral:rRNA from 1 species
UACGUAGGCAGCAAGCGUUGUUCGGAGUUACUGGGCGUAAAGGGUGCGUAGGCGGUUGUUUAAGUUUGGUGUGAAAUCUCCCGGCUCAACUGGGAGGGUGCGCCGAAUACUGAAUGACUAGAGUGCGGGAGAGGAGAGUGGAAUUCCUGGUGUAGCGGUGAAAUGCGUAGAUAUCAGGAGGAGCACCGGUGGUGUAGACGGCUCUCUGGACCGUAACUGACGCUGAGGCACGAAAGCGUGGGUAGCAAACAGG